UACAGAGGGCUCAAGCGUUGUUCGGAUUCAUUGGGCGUAAAGGGUGCGUAGGUGGCGGGGCAAGUCAGGUGUGAAAUCUCGGGGCUCAACCCCGAAACUGCACUUGAUACUGCUUUGCUCGAGUACUGGAGAGGAGACUGGAAUUUACGGUGUAGCAGUGAAAUGCGUAGAUAUCGUAAGGAAGACCAGUGGCGAAGGCGAGUCUCUGGACAGUUACUGACACUGAGACACGAAGGCCAGGGGAGCAAACGGG
rnacentral:rRNA from 1 species